AGGACUUCUACAUCUCCUCAUGCUCAACACUUGAGCUUCUGCUGAAGGGUUUUCUCACGGAGGAUAGAACUGUAGACCAUCUGCUCUUCCUGCUGAAGCAUAUUAAUUUUUUGGCUGGAAGGAAGAAGGGGAGAAAAGCUCCGGGCCCUAACAUGUGCUUCAGCCCUGAUUGACCAUGCCACUGAUAUCCUAGGCCCUAAAGCAGCAGAACAAUUCUCUGAAUGGGGUCAGAUGGUGUGUCAGUACAUCAUCCAUAUCACUUCCAGCAACCCGGUGGUGAUUGAGGCAGCGAGGGAUGUUCUUUCAUCCAUGUACAAGUUCCUUUGGCUCCGGAAAGGUGAGUAAGCUGGAAAGGAGGACACAAGCACUCUCCUCACUGCAAGAAACAUCAAGAACGUGGGCCAUUCUGAUGGAAAGACCCAAGAUGCCAAGCAAUUAGAAAAAGUGAGUUUAUCCUUUCUUCCUUUCAGGCCUUUCUCUAGCAUAUAUCCUAGACUUUUGGUGCCUGGAACACUAUGACACAGAAAUGCUCGGCUAUGUGGAUGUCUGGCAGUAGAUGUAAGCACACAACCCUUCCUUUCAAGUUCUCAGCUUCCUUUUAAGUGCACACUAAGGACCUGAGCACCCAGGGAGCAAAAUCAAGUGCCCCUCAAUGAUGUGAAAUGUUUUUCCUGGUACAGUAAAAAUCUAUUUGAUCAAAUGGAGCAUAAGGAGGGUGGGAC